rnacentral:rRNA from 1 species
CCUACGGGAGGCUGCAGUGAGGAAUAUUGGUCAAUGGGCGCGAGCCUGAACCAGCCAAGUAGCGUGAAGGAUGACUGCCCUACGGUUUGUAAACUCUUUUUAUAAAGGAAUAAAGUGAGGCACGCGUGCCUUUUUGUAUGUACUUUAUGAAUAAGGAUCGGCUAACUCCGUGCCAGCAGCCGCGGUAAUACGGAGGUUCCGAGCGUUAUCCGGAUUUAUUGGGGUUAAAGGGAGCGUAGAUGGGUUGUUAAGUCAGUUGUGAAAGUUUGCGGAUCAACCGUAAAAUUGCAUUUGAUACUGGCAGCCUUGAGUACAGUUGAGGUAGGCGGAAUUCGUGGUGUAGCGGUGAAAUGCUUAGAUAUCACGAAGAACUCCGAUUGCGAAGGCAGCUUACUAAACUGCCACUGACAUUGAUGCUCGAAAGUGUGGGUAUCAAACAGGAUUAGAUACCCCAGUAGUC